rnacentral:lncRNA from 1 species
GGAGUAUUAUCUUAGGGGGAGAACAUGAAACACAGCUUUUUAAUUAUGAUAAAAAAGGGGGAGAAAAUAUCUUAAAGCUUAUUGUUAUUCACUAAUGCCCUUGUCUUUCAUGAGUUGUGUUUUUACUCAGAUUAUUACUAAAAGCUUUAAUUCAAAGGAGUUUUUGAUCAUCAUAAAAAAGGGGGAGAAUGUUAGCAAAAUGAUAAAGAUGAAUUUUUGAUGAUGCCCAAAUGAAGUCAAGAUAUAUCAAGAUUCAUGAAGAUCAUUUGAAGACUUAUUUUUGUUAUUAAAAGCUUUUGUAAUAAUUGUAGUUUAAAUGUUUAGGACUUAGAUUUGUAGUAGGAUUUGAUUCUUGUACCUUUAUAUUUUAUAUUUUCUGUUCAGAAUCAUAAAUGCACGGUUUUAAUCG